AUUGAACGCUGGCGGCAUGCUUUACACAUGCAAGUCGAACGGUAACAGGCCGCAAGGUGCUGACGAGUGGCGAACGGGUGAGUAAUGCAUCGGAACGUGCCCAGUCGUGGGGGAUAACUACUCGAAAGAGUAGCGAAUACCGCAUACGAUCGAUGGAUGAAAGCGGGGGACCGGAAGGCCUCGCGCGAUUGGAACGGCCGAUGUCAGAUGAGGUAGUUGGUGGGGUAAAGGGUCACCAAGCCAACGAUCUUUAGCUGGUCUGAGAGGACAACCAGCCACACUGGGACUGAGACACGGCCCAGACUCCUACGGGAGGCAGCAGUGGGGAAUUUUGGACAAUGGGCGCAAGCCUGAUCCAGCAAUGCCGCGUGCAGGAAGAAGGCCUUCGGGUUGUAAACUGCUUUUGUACGGAACGAAACGGCUCUGGUUAAUACCCGGGGCUAAUGACGGUACCGUAAGAAUAAGCACCGGCUAACUACGUG
rnacentral:rRNA from 1 species